rnacentral:misc_RNA from 1 species
UGCCGCUCUACCUUGUAAUCCCUGCCUUUGUCGGCAACGCUGCUCAGUCACGCCCGCGCAUACACACACACACACAUCGUUCAGCGACGCCGCGUGCCUGCUCUCUGGUUUUCCUCUCUGUGCCACGUGUGUGGCUGUCACAGCAGCGUGAUCGUGGUGCCAGUGGCUGUUCGCGUCGACGACGGAGACAGCGACGACAAGGGGCACGCACACACACACACACACACACGGCGCCCUUCGUGCCCUCUCCUGCAACGUUGUCCUCUUCACCGCGCCAGAGCUUUUUGGGGAUCGGUUUCUGCUUGCGCCGACACCUGUUUUGCAUUGCGUUGCUCGUGUUGCGCGUUAUCCGGUCGCCGACUCUCCCACUCCCCCCCCCACACACACACCACAGACCCACACCAACUCCUCCGUCCAUCCUUGGUCAUGUCGGGUACAUCGAAGCUGCGAUGGGCUCACUAUGACGGCGUCUACCAGCCCGCGCUGCACAUCCCCGCAGAGGAGAUUACCGAGACGGUGCUGCCGGCGGGCUACUCAGCCGUGUACCUGCUCGGACUCGACAGCACCGUAGUGGUACCCGAUGCGGACCUCAGCCCCUACGACCCCCAUGAUACGGCCAAGGCAUCGCACCCGGCGGCCGCCCUCGGUGUGGCGACGGCGCAGCAGAUUCUUGAAGGCUUUCAGGCCAUCGAGGACGGCAGCGCUGCAGGGACCCAGCACGCCCAGCAGUGGCCGCACAAUGACGAGGCGGAGGGGCCCUCGGACACCCUCCUGCUCGAGGACGACGACGACGAUGGCGGCCGUGCACACGGUCGCAGCAGCGCCAGUCGCAGCCGCCACGAGGAGAAGCAGCAGCGAAAACGGGAAAAGAAGGCGGCCAAGGAGGCGAAGAAGGCGGCCAGGGCGGCCGCCAAGCGCGAGCGGGAGGAGGUCACGUCCGCGCCGACGGUGCAGCACCGCGACGACGGCGACAGUGAUGAUGAGCUUCUCGCGGCGAUGACCAUCGAAAACAAGUACAGGCAGGCGCGCGAUCGCGGCUCGGCCGGCGAAGGCGACAAUGCAGGUGCAAGCAGCGGAAAGAAGAGCAAGUCAAAGAAGGAGCGCGACGACGGCGCGUGGGCGGCGCUCGAGGCAGACCUCUUCUCCGACGAGGAGGCCGAGGACGAAGAGAUCGAAGGCGAUGGAGCUGGCCGGUGCGAUGCCGGCGGUACUUGGCGCCAGCAGCGAGGUGUCCGCGCUGGAAACCGAAUGGGGCAGGCGCUGUCAGCGCUGAAUGUGGCCCGGGCAGCGCCGGACAUUCCCGGCCUCUCAACGUCGUGCCCCUACGCGUACCCAUACCUGAUGGAGAUCGACUACGAGUACCGGCAGCUGGCGCAGGAGGUGGCCAGCGAGGGGCUACUGCUCACAAAGCAAGAGGGCGAAGUGGUGCGCGAGAUCGACGCGGAGCUGCGCCGCAGGGCGGCGGAGCGGGUGUACCUUCAGUCGGUGCUGGAGCAGCGCCUUCAGCAACAGGAGAAGGGGUCGGAGAGGAGAGAAGCGUCGACGGCGGCGAGCAACGAGGUGGAUGCGCUGUCGGAGGCAAUCGGGAAGCUGGACGCGCCGCUUAGUGUGGCUGAUCUGGUGCGCCGCCUUGUCUCCAAGCAGGUGUCGGCAUCCACCGCCGCGUUUGACCGCUAUGCCGCGGCGCGGGCGCGGCGUGCGGUGCAGCGGCGCACCCGCACCUUUCAGGACACGUCCGUCAUCACGCUGCUCGAACAACUGCGCGCUGUCGCCGCGACACCGCGCGAGGACGCUACGGAGGUGAUGCGCAAGUACGUCCAGCAGCGUCGCCAGCAUGAGGAGAUGAAGUCCAACAUGCGUGGUCUCACAAAGACCGGCUUCUACGCGGUGCCGAAGCCAAUGGAGAAGUGGAAGCGCGGGCGGGACAUGAUGCUGCUCGUGAACGCCGGCGCCGAGGCGCAGAAGGUGCGGCCGACGUCCUACAUCUCGCAAGCGUACUCGACGAUGCGGGAGCGCAUGAGAGACCACGCCGAGAAGCACUUUGACCGCAUGGCUGUAGCGGCUCGCGACGGCGCCUCUUUCCUCGACCCGAGCAGCUUCGCCGGCACCAGCACGGCAUUCCUGCCGUCCACCUCCACGCCCGCGGCGCUGCCGCUAUCGGCGCAGCAGCACCUGAUCCAGCAGCAGCAGCAGCAGGGCCGUCUGAACGCCGCCAAAGCGGUGCGCCGGCGCGAAGCGUUUUUUCAGUUUCACAGCCUGCGCUGCGACACGGAGGCCCCGGUGACGCUCGAGUCCGUGCCGCUCAACGCCGGCUUUGCCGCGGCCAGCACGCUGGCGCCAGAAUUGCUCGAAUCGGUGGGCGAGACCAUAGCCCCGGGCAGUCGCGCCGUGUCUCUCGGCCGCGGAGGCGAGGACGCCUCGAUCCACACGGAGGACGGCACGUCUCUGUCCUACUCCACCCAUAGCGCAGCGCCCAGCUCGUACCCCUAUCUGUUCGACCACGAACCGCGCUCGCGCCGUCCGCGCCAGCGUCGAAGCAGCCGCGGCAGCGUGAGCGGGCUCUCGCCGGACGUGGAGGGGGCGUCUGUGAACACGUCGCGGGCGACGUCUGUGGCCUCGGCGCACAGCGGAAACGGCGAGGAUGACAAGGCCAAGGAGCACCGCCGCGGCGGCCGCUCGGCUGGCAAGCGUGGCGCGACCGCAGCAGCGACGCAGAACGGUGUCGCAGCCACCGCACCCGCGGACUGGCGCUCGAACGCGAAGCGCAGCAUCAUGGAGCAGCUAACCCUCUACCGCCGUGGCAAGCACGGCAAGCCGGCGGUGCUGAACGACGAGCAGUGCCGCGAAAUGUGCCGGCUGCUCCUGGAUCGCGCCAUGCGCGCCGAGGCGGAGCGGCAGGGGAUGUCCCUCGCGGUUCAGUCGAACAACAUCGCGGCGCGCUUCACCAAAGUGACGGAGAAGCGGCUCAAGAAGAGCGUCGACCACUACUUGGAGAGGCAGAUGCAGCAGGGCAGCUUAUUCUCCAAGGCAGCGACCUCAGCAGGUGGUGCGCUCGGCGCGUCCGCGGUCGGUGUCCUCGGUGCCGGCGCUGUGCUGCAUCCAGGCAUCUUGCCCAUGGACGACAACGGCGCAGUGCUGCCGCACGACACAGCCGCCGAGGCACGCCAGCGCGCGGUGGCCGACACACCUAUCUACGAGGAUUAGUAUCCCACCGUUUGUGGGUGUCCAUGUGGCUUUCCAGAGAGCGAGGGGUGGCGGGGUGUGACGCCUCGCUGCUGAUGCCGUGAACAUUGGCACGGGCGGCCCCGUGGUCGGUUGAGUGGGUGCGGGUCAGUGCUGCUGCCGCGUACGCAAGUGUGCUUGUAUGUGCACGACGCCCUUCUUCCCCCUACGCCGUGUGUUGGUCUCUCGUUGCAUCUCUAUCCUUCUCGUGCAUCGGUCUGCGCUUUCCUUGUGUGACGUGACGAUGGUUGCCGCACAUGCGCACACGUGCGUAUUCGAGUGUGUGUGUGUGUGUGUCUGAUGCACUCCCCCUCCCUUUACCCCCCCCCGCUCCGACCCAAUCCACCUUCUCUGUUUUACAUCUACAUCUCUGCAUGGCAACACAGAUGGCUGGCGCCUUCUCUGGAUUUCCGUUGGAGAAAAGCGAGGGGGCGGCGGUGCUCAUCCCUCUCGCUGACCCUCUCUCUCUGUGUAUGUGUACGCAUGCGUGUGUGUGUCGUUGAGCUAACAAGAAUGCGGUCUGCACCCGUCUGUGCCUCUCAU